GAUUCAUAUUAUUCAAAUUAAUAAUAAUUAGUGUGUUCAUCAUGAACAAUGUUGUUUCUCAUCAUGGUCAAAUUUUGAUGAGGGGUCUUAGCUAGCUAGGCAUAGUUUCUAAAAAAAGAAAUAAUGUGGUUAUAAACAAGAUUGUUGGCGUUGGUUGCCAUGACGAAGUCCGCAUGAGCAUAAUUCUUGAUGUACUGAACAUGCAAUUUGUCUACGUCAUGAAACUUUAGAUAGUCAAGCAAUGUUUCAACGUCUUUGCUAUCGGACAGUGCAUCUUGCCCACCGUAGCUCAAAAAUAGUGGAAGAUCACGAGGAAUGUUGCCUAAAUCGUACUUUGGAGGUUUGGUUUCACCAUAAUGCGCCAAAUUGUAGUUGCUCCCGUAGUCAUAUUUUGAAAGUGUACCAUCUCUAACGGUCUGAGCCAAAUGCACCAAGUUUUUAGUUGAAGUGGAUUGAGGCUCGUCAUUCAAAAAUAUCUCGACCGUGGAGGAAUUCAAACAACAAUUCUUCCCAGUAAUUGCAGUCAUUAAGUCAUAGCAAUUUACCCCUGGCUGAGCACAGAAGAACUUGAGCAAUUUGUUUACAGGUCCACCCUUUGGAUUAAACUCAGCAAGACCAAAUAUUGUGGUGAUUUCACCAACAAAGGCUCUAGCAGCAACUUCACCAAGUGCAGUGGUCAUAUGGCUCAAAUAAGCAAUUGGACUUAGUAAUGCUGCUGAUUUAACCUUGUCUAUUUCUCUUCCUUCUGAGAAUGAUGCCAAAGCUAUCAAAGUUCCCAUUGAAUGACCAACAUAGUGUAUUUUCUGUCCAGUUUGUUUGAAGAUAAAGUCAAUAACAGAUGGUAAAUCAUGAACAAUCAAUUCAUCCCAUGACCAAUUCCAGUAUUCCGAAUCUCUAGCGUCAAGGGUGACAUGACGACGACUAUAUCUGGUUCCUCUGGUAUUCGAAAUCCAAACAUCAAAACCAUUAUCUGCUAACAUCAUCGCCACAGAUUCUUCCGGUGGACUCAACAACCACGUUGCACCAUCCACAAGAACUCCAUGCUGCAACAAAACUGGCUGCCUGAUUUGCCCACCACCUCCUACACGGCCUUGAGGAAUUCUUUGUACACUUAGUAUGUAUCCAUCAUCAGUUUUAACCUCAAAUUCUUGGCAUUUGUAACCAUGAGGGGCGACAGUGGAGGCACACAUACCCGCUCCAUUGUCGCCAUAACUAAUGAAACCAAAGUGUCUUGAGCUUAAUACUCGAUUAGGCUCAAGCACGAACAUAACUAAUGUGAAAAUACG
rnacentral:misc_RNA from 1 species